GACGAACGCUGGCGGCGUGCUUAACACAUGCAAGUCGAACGGAAAGGCCCUGCUUUUGUGGGGUGCUCGAGUGGCGAACGGGUGAGUCACAUGUGAUUAACCUGCCCUUGACUUUGGGAUAACUUCAGGAAACUGUGGCUAAUACCGGAUAGGAGCCCCUGCUGCAUGGUGGGGGUUGGAAAGUUUCGGCGGUUGGGGAUGGACUCGCGGCUUAUCAGCUUGUUGGUGGGGUAGUGGCUUACCAAGGCUUUGACGGGUAGCCGGCCUGAGAGGGUGACCGGCCACAGUGGGACUGAGAUACGGCCCAGACUCCUACGGGAGGCAGCAGUGGGGAAUAUUGCACGAUGGGCGGAAGCCUGAUGCAGCAACGCCGCGUGCGGGAUGACGGCCUUCGGGUUGUAAACCGCUUUCGCCUGUGACGAAGCGUGAGUGACGGUAAUGGGUAAAGAAGCACCGGCUAACUACGUG
rnacentral:rRNA from 1 species